UAAGGAAUAUUGGUCAAUGGAGGGAACUCUGAACCAGCCAUGCCGCGUGAAGGAUGACAGCCCUCGGGGUUGUAAACUUCUUUUGGAUGGGGCGAAAAAACGGGAUUUAUCCUGGACUGACGGUACCAUCAGAAUAAGCACCGGCUAACUCCGUGCCAGCAGCCGCGGUAAUACGGAGGGUGCAAGCGUUAUCCGGAAUCACUGGGUUUAAAGGGUGCGUAGGCGGUUGUAUAAGUCAGGGGUGAAAGCACGCAGCUUAACUGUGUAAUUGCCUUUGAUACUGUACGGCUUGAAUAGGGUUGAGGUUGGCGGAAUGUGACAUGUAGCGGUGAAAUGCAUAGAUAUGUCAUAGAACACCGAUUAGCGAAGGCAGCUGACUGGGCCUAUAUUGACGCUGAGGCA
rnacentral:rRNA from 1 species